GUUACUGCUAACGGUGUUCGCCUAAGCCAUGCGAGUCAUAUGUAGCAAUACAUGGCGUACUGCUCAGCAACACGUGGAUAACCUGCCCUUGGGACCGGCAUAACCCCGGGAAACUGGGGAUAAUUCCGGAUAACGCAUAUUUGCUGGAAUGCUUUAUGCGUCAAAAGGAUUCGUCUGCCCAAGGAUGGGUCUGCGGCCUAUCAGGUAGUAGUGGGUGUAAUGUACCUACUANCCAGCGACGGGUACGGGUUGUGAGAGCAAGAGCCCGGAGAUGGAUUCUGAGACAUGAAUCCAGGCCCUACGGGGCGCAGCAGGCGCGAAAACUUUACAAUGCGGGAAACCGUGAUAAGGGGACACCGAGUGCCAGCAUCAUAUGCUGGCUGUCCGGAUGUGUAAAAUACAUCCGUUAGCAAGGGCCGGGCAAGACCGGUGCCAGCCGCCGCGGUAACACCGGCGGCCCGAGUGGUGAUCGUGAUUAUUGGGUCUAAAGGGUCCGUAGCCGGUUUGGUCAGUCCUCCGGGAAAUCUGAUAGCUCAACUAUUAGGCUUUCGGGGGAUACUGCCAGACUUGGAACCGGGAGAGGUAAGAGGUACUACAGGGGUAGGAGUGAAAUCUUGUAAUCCCUGUGGGACCACCUGUGGCGAAGGCGUCUUACCAGAACGGGUUCGACGGUGAGGGACGAAAGCUGGGGGCACGAACCGGAUUAGAUACCCGGGUAGUCCCAGCCGUAAACGAUGCUCGCUAGGUGUCAGGCAUGGCGCGACCGUGUCUGGUGCCGCAGGGAAGCCGUGAAGCGAGCCACCUGGGAAGUACGGCCGCAAGGCUGAAACUUAAAGGAAUUGGCGGGGGAGCACAACAACGGGUGGAGCCUGCGGUUUAAUUGGACUCAACGCCGGACAACUCACCGGGGGCGACAGCAAUAUGUAGGCCAAGCUGAAGACUUUGCCUGAAUCGCUGAGAGGAGGUGCAUGGCCGUCGCCAGUUCGUACUGUGAAGCAUCCUGUUAAGUCAGGCA
rnacentral:rRNA from 1 species